GGCGGCGUGCUUAACACAUGCAAGUCGUGCGCGAAGGUGGCUUCGGCCACCGGAGAGCGGCGAACGGGUGAGUAACACGUGGGUAAUCUGCCUUGGAGUGGGGGAUAACCUGGGGAAACUCGGGCUAAUACCGCAUACGUCGGCGGGGUUGCGGCCCCGCCAAGAAAGCUGGCCUCUGCUUGCAUGCCAGCGCUCCUUGAGGAGCCCGCGGCUGAUUAGCUAGUUGGUGGGGUAAUGGCCCACCAAGGCGACGAUCAGUAGCCGGCCUGAGAGGGUGAUCGGCCACACUGGGACUGAGACACGGCCCAGACUCCUACGGGAGGCAGCAGUGGGGAAUAUUGGACAAUGGGCGCAAGCCUGAUCCAGCAACGCCGCGUGGAGGACGAANGUCUUCGGAUCGUAAACUCCUGUCAGGCGGGACGAAAAGGCGCCGGUGAACAGCCGGCGUCCAUGACGGUACCGCCAGA
rnacentral:rRNA from 1 species